GUAGGGGGCAAGCGUUAUCCGGAUUUACUGGGUGUAAAGGGAGCGUAGACGGUUUUGCAAGUCUGAAGUGAAAGCCCGGGGCUCAACCCCAGUACUGCAUUGGAAACUGUCGUACUAGAGUGUCGGAGGGGUAAGCGGAAUUCCUAGUGUAGCGGUGAAAUGCGUAGAUAUAUGGAGGAACACCAGUGGCGAAGGCGACGGUCUGGGCCGCAACUGACGCUCAUUCCCGAAAGCGUGGGGAGCAAAUAGGAUUAGAUACCCUAGUAGUCCACGCCGUAAACGAUGGUCACUAAGUGUCGGGGGUCAAACCCCGGUGCUGCAGUCAACGCAGUAAGUGACCCGCCUGAGUAGU
rnacentral:rRNA from 1 species